AAGCGAUCAGGCGGCCGCAGCGAAGAGAGGCAGCCGACUGCGCUGCGCGGCGGAUAUACGCUCUACCCCGUCCCGCCCAGACUCAACGAACACUGCCAAGCUUCUGCCCCUCGUUCUCCCCGGGACGACUUCUUCCGUGCGCCGAUGACAGCUGCGCGCUGCGCAUGCGCGCAGCCCUCGCACGCCCGAGACAUUCCCACCGCUGCCAGACUUCUUUGUUGACUGACCUAGCACAUUAACC
rnacentral:lncRNA from 1 species